GGGGAUGGGCUUUAGCUCAGUGAUAGAGCAUCUUCUUAAUAUUCAGGAGGUACCAGGUUCAAUCCUUGUCAUCUCCA